rnacentral:lncRNA from 1 species
CAGAACACCGCUAUGAGCUCAGGGGUCCCAUUACUGAAAGCCCUCCUCCUCCUAUUAGCAGGCACUGGGAGAGCUCAAGUGCUGGCAACAGGCAAGUCUGCUGGGACUGAGAUCGAUUUCAAGUACGUUGUUAUCGGUACGGCAUUAGGAGUAGCCCUAUCUGCCGGUUUCCUUGCCCUGAAGAUUUGCAUGAUCCGGAGACACUUGUCUGAUAAUGACUCUACAGACCUGAAGAACACACCCCAGGGUAAGGGAGCCACGACAAACAGAGCCUGCCCUACUCUGCAGAAGAAAGCGUUGUCUCUGCCUGUUGGC